GUGAAUGCUUUCCUAUGAGACCGGCUGAAUGCGCGCGCAGCUCCUGCCGCGCGUGCGCAUUCAGCCGAAGGGGCGGAGAGGAGGAGGAGAGCUCCCCGCCCGGCGCUGGAAAAAAGGUAAGUUUAACCCCUUUCCUUGCCAUCCAGCCCGGCGGGAGGGGGUACCCUUAGGGCACUAUAGUGCCAGGAAAACUAGUAUGUUUUCCUGGCACUAUAGUGGUCCUUUAAGUGUCGUGGAGUAACCGUGCAUAAUGUGAUUAUUCCCAACAGCAGGACUUCACCUUUGUGUCCUCACUGGCCAGGAAGAAU